GGAGCCCGGAGUGCCACCUCUCGGGGAGCUCAGCGCGUAGGCCGGGGCGGGCGGGGGGUAGGCGCUGCGGUUGGGGUAGUAGGAGUUGUACUGGUGGUUGGGGAAGCCGUGGUCGUGAGAGUUCUGCUGGGGCCCCGCGUAGGGCUCCAGGCCCCCGCCGCCGCCGCUCUGCAGCGCUGCCAGGCCAGGGCUUUGUUGUCCGCCAUGUUGUUGGUGGAAGACGGCGGCCGCGGCGGCGGCGACGGCAGACGGGCUCCGGCCGUAGGGUUGCCCGAAGCCGUAGGCUGGGGGCGGCAAGGCGGCCGCGGCUGAGUGAGGAGGCGCCCCCACCCCAUCGCUGCUGGCGCCACCGCCGCCGCCGGGCGGCUCCGUGAGGUUAUUGUUCAGGGCGGGCCUAGGGCUUUCGUUCCCGUUCGAGUUCUUCAGGUCCGGCUCCGCGCCGGGCCCGCCGCCGCUGCCGGCUCCGCCGCCGCCGCCACCCCCAUUGCUCUCGGCCCCGUCCUGCAGCUCCUUUCCCAGCGGCUGCGGCGGCCCCACGGCGGGGCCCUCGCUUUCCUGCCCGGCGGCUGCCUUCAUUUCCCCGCGCUCGGCCGCUGCCGC
rnacentral:lncRNA from 1 species